GGUAAUUAGCGGUUCCCCUCCUCCUCACUCCCGGAUUCCCUUCAACUUGUGACCCGGCGGCCAAAGGUGUGAAUGGGCAGCCAAAAGGGUGGAAAGGGUUUCCGGAAGGUCUGAGGCGGCCGAGCCCGGCCGGAAGUCGGGUGGGCGCGGAAGACGGCGUGGGAGGGGAUUGGCUGAGCCGCUCUGGCAGGCGGGGUGGGCGGCUGCGCAGAACAGCCCAGGGCGGGGAGCCGAGGCUGCUGGACUCGCCCGGGAGGUCCGGGCGCGCGAAGCGGGGCAGGGAAGUUUGCAGGUGUGGGUGUAGCGAGUGGCGUAGGGGACAGGGCGCCCCCGGGUCCACGAUGCAGCCCCCGGAUGAAGCCGCAGUAUUUUCCUUAUAUGAUCGGGCCCCGUGACUGGCGGCGCCGCCGGCCCGGAGCCUGAGAGGAUUAUGAAAACGUGUCAGGCGAAAUGGGGCCAGGGACCCGGGGGCUGGGAGGUUAGGGGGAGGCAGUUAGGCUAAGGUUUGGGUGUGGUUAGGGUGGCCCCUGCCGCUCUGCGAGCCCUGGUCGAUGAUGACGUGACCACUGCGCAAUCUGAGUUCUGGGAACUAGGUGAUGGAGCGUGUUCUGAGAACGGACUGAGACCGGGCGAGCAGGGGCUGACGCGGGCGGUAGACCCCAGCGCCAGGGCUCGGGGGCGGGCCACGCUGCCUCUGGCUUAGUUCGGUGGUUGGAAAGCGGUGGGUGGGAGGCUCUGAGGUGUUCUGUGAGCUGUCUGGGAACGCCCGCCCCAAAUCCAGGUUUUCAAACGCGUUCGUGGUCCUCUCAUUUUGUAUUUUUUUUUUUUUUUAGCCCAACGUUUUUAUUAUGAAAACUUAGAAACUUACAGGAACGUGCAGAGACUUCUACGUGAACUACCCGUAUGUUCAUCACCCGUAUUCUACAAUUGUUAACACUUUGCCAUAUUUGCUGUAUCACAUCUUUCCACCUUUAUAUAUAUAUAUAUAUAUAUAUACACACACACGCACACACACAUUGUUUUUUUCUUUGUCAGCCUUAGUACACUUCAGGAAUACUUUGGCUCACGUUAAAGAUACUGAAACACCCACCUGGUGGAAGAAGUCAACUGCCUGUUGACCACAAGCAGGAGACCCCAGACUGGCUGGAAUCAGAAGGUUGGUGAUGCUGACUCCCCGCCAACAUCAGGUGAUGUCAGAAAAAUGUUUAGGAGCUGAUCAGACACUCUGCAACCCUAAGCCUCACUCUGUCUUUAAAAAGCGUUUCCCUGAAGUUCACCCAGAGUUCAGGUCUUUUGAACAUUAGCUGCCCAUACUCCUCCUUGGCCCUGUGUUACACUGCCCUUUCCUUCACCAUCACCUGGUGUUGGUAGAUUGGUUUUACUGUGUGCAGGCCAGCAGACCCAAGUUUGGUUCCCCAAAAACUGUAGUGAGAUUGUUUCUAAUCUGUAGACCAACUUGGGGACAAUUGACAUUUCUGUAGUAUGGAGUUUUCUUAUCCAUGAAAUGUUUUUCCAGUACUUUAAUGUCAUUGUUAAUGUUUUUCACUUAUGUAAGUUACUCCAUACAGAUCUUAUAUUGUUCCCACUGAUUUGUAAUGACAUCUUUGCCAUAUACAAAGUUAUACAUAUGAGUCUAUCUCUGAGCUCUCUGUUUUAUUCCAUUGAUCCACUGCACGCAAACUGCCUUGUUUGAAUUAACUCAGUAAGUCUUAUUUUAUAGGGAGUUUCCUUCUACCUGCAACUUGCAGGCUGCAGUUUGCCAACCUCUGGUUUAAAUGAUCAUGAUGCAUGUUUGAAAUACAGACCCCUGAAUAAAGUGUCUUAAGAAAGCAUUAAAAAUAAACUUUUCA